UUUGUAUAUUCCUAUUUUCCUUACUUUACAACCUCUACCUGAGUCGUAAAAAUCACCCUUGACGAUCCUAAUGACUUCCAAUGGAGCCUUUUUGGAAAUUACGAUGAGAGUCGUGGGGUCAUCGCUCGCUUCACUGCCUCAGAGGGAAGCUAAGACACAGGCCUGGCUCUUGACUCCUCUCCUCUUUGGUGUUGUAAAGACUGGCCGCGGGAGAAGCUUGUGAGGGGAUGAGGAAUGUGUGUUGAAGUCUAGAGGAGAACGUCAAGGUGGAAGGAUGAACUGGUGGUGACUUUUGUGUUUGUAUACAGUUUAUAUACAGUGUUUCCUUCCUGUCAAGUGAUUAGGUGUUUUAAAAGAAGGUUUGGUAGAAAGUAUUUGAUAUGCGAGUGAUUAAAAGUGAAGAAAUGAAAAUCAUAAAGGAUAAUAUUCUUUCCUAAUAUAUGAGGACGAGUGUUGAGUGUGUUUUGCUUCUUUUUCAUUGUGAAGUGAUAAGAGUCCUGAAAGUAAAUUGCUACUUUUGACUUCAUUUAUGGUGUUUUUAUUUAUUUGAGAGAUAAAAACUGAAGAAAAAGUAAUGGGAUGUGAAGUUCAUUACGUGCGUUGAUAAUUAUAUUACUGAAAAAAAGACACUGGAAAGAAAAAUCAUGUCUCAAUGUCACGCAACACAAUGAACUGCUAGUGGGUGGUGUAGUGUGGUGGUGGGAAAGAGAAGUUGAUAAUGUGUGGUGACAGUUUAAACUCAAGAAAGUUUACUUAAGGUGAAAAUAACUGGAAAAAAAAGCAAAGAUAUGAAAAAGUAAAGGAGAUUGAAAGGGAAAGCUCACUGAAAAUAAAUAAAAAGUGGAAACAACAUAGAAACAGUAAGGCAGAAACAAUUUAAAGUGAGAAAAAAAUAUGAAAAAAAUAUAAAAGUUAGAAAACAAUUUAAGGAGAAAAGCUCAUGAAGAAAAUAAAUCAAAUAUAGAAACGAUUCAAACAGAAAAAAAAGGUCACGAAAAUGAAAUAAAAGAAAAAAACAA
rnacentral:lncRNA from 1 species